rnacentral:rRNA from 1 species
CAACCUACCUAUCAGAGGGGAAUAACCCGGCGAAAGUCGGACUAAUACCGCAUAAAACAGGGGCACCGCAUGGUGAUAUUUGUUAAAGAAAUUCGCUGAUAGAUGGGCAUGCGUUCCAUUAGGUAGUUGGUGAGGUAACGGCUCACCAAGCCGACGAUGGAUAGGGGAACUGAGAGGUUGGUCCCCCACACUGGUACUGAGACACGGACCAGACUCCUACGGGAGGCAGCAGUGAGGAAUAUUGGUCAAUGGGCGGGAGCCUGAACCAGCCAAGUCGCGUGAAGGAAGAAGGAUCUAUGGUUCGUAAACUUCUUUUGCAGGGGAAUAAAGUGCAGGACGUGUCCUGUUUUGUAUGUACCCUGAGAAUAAGGAUCGGCUAACUCCGUGCCAGCAGCCGCGGUAAUACGGAGGAUCCGAGCGUUAUCCGGAUUUAUUGGGUUUAAAGGGUGCGUAGGUGGUUUGAUAAGUCAGCGGUGGAAGUUUGCAGCUUAACUGUAAAAAUGCCGUUGAAACUGUCGGACUUGAGUGUAAAUGAGGUAGGCGGAAUGCGUGGUGUAGCGGUGAAAUGCAUAGAUAUCACGAAGAACUCCGAUUG